rnacentral:rRNA from 1 species
UACGUAGGUCCCGAGCGUUGUCCGGAUUUAUUGGGCUUAAAGCGAGCGCAGGUGGUUUAUUAAGUCUGGUGUAAAAGGCAGUGGCUCAACCAUUGUAUGCAUUGGAAACUGGUAGACUUGAGUGCAGGAGAGGAGAGUGGAAUUCCAUGUGUAGCGGUGAAAUGCGUAGAUAUAUGGAGGAACACCGGUGGCGAAAGCGGCUCUCUGGCCUGUAACUGACGCUGAGGCUCGAAAGCGUGGGGAGCAAACAGG